rfam:Oryza meridionalis cultivar OR44 (W2112) chromosome 2, whole genome shotgun sequence.
UUUAAGCGCAGUCAUGAGUUUCCGUGUUCAACUUUGAUCGUCUAUCUUAUUUAACUUUUGUUGUGAUUAUUAUUUUUAUUGUUAUUAGAUGAUAAAACAUGAAUAGUAUUUUAUGUAUGACUUAAGUUUUUAAAUUUAUUUUCAAAUAAAGCGGACGAUUAAAAUUGGACACGAAAACUAAUAUUUGGACUUAAA